rnacentral:rRNA from 1 species
UACGUAGGUGGCAAGCGUUGUCCGGAGUUAUUGGGCGUAAAGCGCGCGCAGGCGGUUGGAUAAGUCCAUGGUGAAAGCGCCUGGCUCAACUAGGCGAGUGCCGUGGGGACUGUUCAGCUGGAGUGGAGCAGAGGCGAGUGGAAUUCCGGGUGUAGUGGUGAAAUGCGUAGAGAUCCGGAGGAACACCAGAGGCGAAGGCGGCUCGCUGGGCUUUGACUGACGCUGAGGCGCGAAAGCGUGGGGAGCGAACCG